rnacentral:rRNA from 1 species
UACAGAGGGUGCGAGCGUUAAUCGGAUUUACUGGGCGUAAAGGGCGCGUAGGCGGUUUAAUAGGUGUGAUGUGAAAGCCCUGGGCUUAACCGAGGAAGUGCGCCCAAAACUACGGGCUUGAGUGCCGGAGAGGGUGGCGGAAUUCCCGGUGUAGAGGUGAAAUUCGUAGAUAUCGGGAGGAACACCAGUGGCGAAGGCGGCCACCUGGACGGUAACUGACGCUGAGACGCGAAAGCGUGGGGAGCAAACAGG